ACGAACGCUGGCGGCAUGCCUAACACAUGCAAGUCGAACGAGAUCUUCGGAUCUAGUGGCGCACGGGUGCGUAACGCGUGGGAAUCUGCCCUUUGCUUCGGAAUAACAGUGAGAAAUUACUGCUAAUACCGGAUGAUGUCUUCGGACCAAAGAUUUAUCGGCAAAGGAUGAGCCCGCGUAGGAUUAGGUAGUUGGUGGGGUAAUGGCCUACCAAGCCGACGAUCCUUAGCUGGUCUGAGAGGAUGAUCAGCCACACUGGGACUGAGACACGGCCCAGACUCCUACGGGAGGCAGCAGUGGGGAAUAUUGGACAAUGGGGGAAACCCUGAUCCAGCAAUGCCGCGUGAGUGAUGAAGGCCUUAGGGUUGUAAAGCUCUUUUACCAGGGAUGAUAAUGACAGUACCUGGAGAAUAAGCUCCGGCUAACUCCGUG
rnacentral:rRNA from 1 species